UAGGGAAUCUUCCGCAAUGGACGCAAGUCUGACGGAGCAACGCCGCGUGAGUGAAGAAGGAUUUCGGUUCGUAAAACUCUGUUGUUAGAGAAGAACAGCGCAUAGAGUAACUGUUAUGCGUGUGACGGUAUCUAACCAGAAAGCCACGGCUAACUACGUGCCAGCAGCCGCGGUGAUACGUAGGUGGCAAGCGUUGUCCGGAUUUAUUGGGCGUAAAGCGAGCGCAGGCGGUCAAUUAAGUCUGAUGUGAAAGCCCCCGGCUCAACCGGGGAGGGUCAUUGGAAACUGGUUGACUUGAGUGCAGAAGAGGAGAGUGGAAUUCCAUGUGUAGCGGUGAAAUGCGUAGAUAUAUGGAGGAACACCAGUGGCGAAGGCGACUCUCUGGUCUGUAACUGACACUGAGGCUCGAAAGCGUGGGUAGCAAACAGG
rnacentral:rRNA from 1 species